rnacentral:rRNA from 1 species
UACGAGGGGAGCGAGCGUUGUCCGGAAUUACUAGGCGUAAAGGGCAAGUAGGCGGAAAUGUAAGUCAGGCGUUAAAGGCAUCGGCUCAACCGGUGUACGGCGUUUGAUACUGUGUUUCUAGAGUAUGGUAUGGGAAGACGGAAUUCCUGGUGUAGCGGUGGAAUGCGCAGAUAUCAGGAAGAACAUCAGUGGCGAAGGCGGUCUUCUGAGCCAAUACUGACGCUCAAUUGCGAAGGUGUGGGUAUCGAACAGG